rnacentral:rRNA from 1 species
UGGGGAAUCUUGCGCAAUGGGCGAAAGCCUGACGCAGCGACGCCGCGUGGGUGAUGAAGGCCUUCGGGUUGUAAAGCCCUGUGGGGAGGGACGAAUGAGUGCCGGUUAAUACCCGGCAUGAUGACGGUACCUCUUUAGCAAGCACCGGCUAACUCUGUGCCAGCAGCCGCGGUAAGACAGAGGGUGCAAACGUUGUUCGGAAUUACUGGGCGUGAAGCGCGUGUAGGCGGCCAUGUAAGUCGGAUGUGAAAGCCCUCGGCUCAACUGGGGAAGUGCACCCGAAACUGCGUGGCUAGAGUCUCGGAGAGGAUCGUGGAAUUCUCGGUGUAGAGGUGAAAUUCGUAGAUAUCGAGAGGAACACCGGUGGCGAAGGCGGCGAUCUGGACGGUGACUGACGCUGAGACGCGAAAGCGUGGGGAGCAAACAGG